GUGCUUGCUUCCGCAGCACAUAUAGUAAAAACUGGAAGGAUACAGAGAAGUUUAGCAUGGCCCCUGCACAAGGAUGGCAUGCAAAUUCAUGACGUGUUCCAUAUUUUU